AUCAUGUUCUCCUCCACCAGUCUUACACACUGCUUUUGGAUAACUUUAUGCUACUCACUCCUGGUGCAAAAAUUCAAGCAGUUCAGUUUGGUUUGAUGGCUUGUGAUCAUCCAUCUUACUCUUGAUUAUAUUCCAGAGGUUUUUAACUUGGUAAAAUCAAAGAAACUCAUAAUUUUUAAGUGGUCUCUUAUUUUUUUUUCCAGAGCUGUAGGAACAGUCUUGAUAAGUCUGGACUCUGCAGAUCCUGAGGUACAUAGUAGACAAGGAGGAGCCUGGGCAUCAGAACUGAACCAACCCAGAGGUGGUGAGGAAGUACAUGGAGGAGCAUGAGCCGUCAGCUUCUGAAAGGCCGCAAAGAGAGGCCUGCACAUGCUGCACUUUCACCAGUGCCAACAUGAUUGACAAUCAGUUCCAGCAACAGGCCACCCUUCUAUCAUCCGUCAUGCUAAGUUCAGCCCACAGAUACAAACAGGAAGAGGAAGAGGAAAUCCCUUUCUGGAUAGAACAACAGGUUUCGACUGUGAGAACAGG
rnacentral:lncRNA from 1 species